rnacentral:misc_RNA from 1 species
GGGGAUGCAUGUCCCAUGCUUGGC